AGUCAGGUUAUAAGGUCAGGGGAUAGAGGUCAGGGGUUAAGGGUUACCUAUAGGAGAUGUUGAAGCCAGUCAGGUUAUAAGGUCAGGGGAUAGAGGUCAGGGGUUAAGGGUUACCUAUAUGAGAUGUUGAAGCCAGUCAGGUUAUAAGGUCAGGGGUUAAGGGUUACCUAUAGGAGAUGUUGAAGCCGGUCAGGUUAUAAGGUCAGGGGAUAGAGGUCAGGGGUUAAGGGUUACCUAUAUGAGAUGUUGA